rnacentral:lncRNA from 1 species
CAGCCCUCCAGGGGCCUCCCCCUGCGCCCUGCGGCUCCCGGCCACCCUCGGCUCCCAGCUCACCAUCCACCUUCCCCCUCCGUCUCCGCCACGGUACCGACUCCGACGGCCUCGCGCCCGGCCCCCAGCCCCGGCAAACCCGGAGGGCUGGAGUCCCGCGCCCGGCGCCCGCGGCGGCCACUGGGCACGCUCCGUUGCCGGGCAGCGGGCAGGGUCGGGGCUGCCCGCCUCGCGGAUCCCCGGGGCCGCGCGUCCUCCUCUCCCCAGCAGGCGGCGGCGGCGUUGGCGGCGUUGGCGGCGUUGGCGGCGGGGACACGCCCGGCACCGGGAGGAGGAGCGGGUGCGGCGCCUCGGGACCGGCGCCUUAGCAGGUGCUGGGCGGUACGCGAAGCCGACUGGGGCGCGGCCCGGCUCUCCGCGCUGCCCUCGCCCUCCUCUGCCCCUUGCCCCAACUUCCAGCAAGUGGCUCAGAAGCUCCGGGGAGACUUGGCUGCAGCUCUGAGGGCGCGUCGCCGGCUCGGCCCGAGGCCAGGGGCUGAUGUGCUCGCCUCUGCGGGCGGCAGCCGCUCCAACUUCCCCCGGCGCUGUCUUUGUCGGGGUGUCGGGAGCCCCUCCCAGGAGGCCGGUCCCCGCGGUCUGGGAGCGUUCGUGCCUGCGCAGACGCGGUCCCGGCCCCUCGUCGCAGGCAGUGGGGCGCUGCCGUGCCGCCGCGGGCCCUGGCUGUCAGGACGCUAUCGCGUGGCUCCGGCAUCGGCGGCGACGUCAGUCAGUCGGGCCGAUCAGUGGACAGCCCCGGGCCGGACCAGGAUAGGGACGCGCUCCCGUGACAGCGUGGGGCAUGAAAACGGGCUGCGAGGAAGUCUCAGGUGCUGCAGAGCCCCGUGUUCCAAACUGCGGAACCCACAGGAAGGACACGGCUUACCACCCAGGACUGCUCGGGGGAGGCCGAGCGGCGCAGGCCCGAUCGCAGGACGGGCUGGAGGCGCGUGGAUCCCCUCGAGCGGCCGGGGAGCCCCCGCGGGGGUCAGGGCGCUUCUGCGGACCGCUCGGCACCGUCGCUGUUUGCUUGAGAUUCCCUACGGGGCCGUGUUGUUGCGUCCCUGUUGCCGCAGAGCUUGGCAAAAUAAUUACUUCUGCCCACAUUUUUAUCACUCAUCACACACUGAUGGUGAAGAAAGUACUCAUGACGUUUUAUGA